GCCGGGGUGGCUCAGUUGGUAGAGCGUCGGACUCAUAAUCCGAAGGUCUCGGGUUCGACCCCCGAUCCCGGCA
rnacentral:tRNA from 2 species